rnacentral:rRNA from 1 species
AAACUUUCAAGGGGUUCCCAUUAUAACCCAACCGUGUAAGGAACGCAAAAUCAAGGAACAUAACACCGGUAUGACGGAAACCAGGGCGGCAAGAGUGGAACAAAACACCAGGCAUAAGGCCGAGCCUUCCACCCUUUACCAAGUAUAUAGGUGUAUUAAGAUAAUCAAGAUAAUAUUAUGAUAUCCCAACAAUAAACAUGUUCCAACAAGGAACAAACUCCAAACUUCACCUGCAACUAGCAACGCUAUAAGAGGGGCUGAGCAAAGCGGUAACAUAGCCAAACAACGGUUUGCUAGGACAAGGUGGGUUAGAGGUUUGACAUGGCAAUUUGGGAGGCAUGAUAAGCAAGUGGUAGGUAUCGUAUUAGGGGCAUAGCAGAAGAGCGAGCAUCUAGCAAGCAAAGAUAGAAGUGAUUUUGAGGGUAUGGUCAUCUUGCCUGCAAAGUUCUCUGAGUUGACUUGAUCCUCGUAAGCGUACUCAACGGGCUCCUCGAUCACGUACUCGUCUCCCGGCUCUACCCAAAGCAAGAACAACAAGCAAAGGGAAAAACAAUCAACCACGUGCAAUGCUCAAACAACAUGAUGCAAACAUGGUCAUGAUAUGCGGGAUGCGAUAUGUGAUGCAUAUGCAUGAUUUGGAAAGGAAUGAUUGAACCUGGCCUCAACUUGGAAAACCAAGAGUGCCACUGGAAAGGUGAGUUGAUUUCAGUCGAAAUCAAUAUAAAUAUCACCGGAAUCGGAUGCACGGUUUGGAAAUGGCGAGCAAAACAAAUAUGGCAUCGGUCUGCGAUUAACAGCACGAGACCAUCUAAAUGCAUCAAGGACAACAUGCUACAGCACUCCAACAUAGCAACAAAAUACAUGGCAGGGAUCCACUCAAGAUGCUUGACAAAAGAUGAACACUGAGCUACGGCCAAUUCACUCAAUAGCAGGUUCAAACAAGCAUGGCAAAAGUGCAAAAGAUAAUAGGUUACAGACUUCGUGAAAAUAACAAGUCAGGAAGUUAACAUCAGGAAGCAAUCUUUAGAGCAAGAUAACAACAUGUUACAGGAACAUAUCAUGGCAAAGCAAGGCAUGGCAUGAAGCUACUCAAAGCAUACAACAAAAGUCCUUUACUGAACAUAAGCCAAAAGGGACCAUAAUUUUACAACUAGCAACGGAAUGGACACUAGAGACUGUUUAAUUAAAACAAAGCAUUGCGAUGGUCCUGGCGGAUGCUGACGCAAUGUGAUUUCUGCCCAGUGCUCUGAAUGUCAAAGUGAAGAAAUUCAACCAAGCGCGGGUAAACGACGGGAGUAACUAUGACUCUCUUAAGGUAGCCAAAUGCCUCGUCAUCUAAUUAGUGACGCGCAUGAAUGGAUUAACGAGAUUCCCACUGUCCCUCUCUACUAUCCAGCGAAACCACAGCCAAGGGAACGGGCUUGGCAGAAUCAGCGGGGAAAGAAGACCCUGUUGAGCUUGACUCUAGUCCGACUUUGUGAAAUGACUUGAGAGGUGUAUGAUAAGUGGGAGCCCUCAUGGGUGCAAGUGAAAUACCACUACUUUUAACGUUAUUUUACUUAUUCCGUGGGUCGGAAGCGGGGCAUGUCCCCUCCUUUUGGCUCCAAGGCCCAGUCUUACCGGGCCGAUCCGGGCGGAAGACAUUGUCAGGUGGGGAGUUUGGCUGAGGCGGCACAUCUGUUAAAAGAUAACGCAUGUGUCCUAAGAUGAGCUCAACGAGAAGAGAAAUCUUGUGUGGAACAAAAGGGUAAAAGCUCGUUUGAUUCUGAUUUCCAGUAUGAAUACGAACCGUGAAAGCGUGGCCUAUCAAUCCUUUAGAUCUUCGGAGUUUGAAGCUAGAGGUGUCAGAAAAGUUACCACAGAGAUAACUGGCUUGUGGCAGCCAAGCGUUCAUAGCGACGUUGCUUUUUGAUCCUUCGAUGCCGGCUCUUCCUAUCAUUGUGAAGCAGAAUUCACCAAGUGUUGGAUUGUUCACCCACCAAUAGGGAUCAUGAGCUGGGUUUAGACCGUCGUGAGAUAGGUUAGUUUUACCCUACUGAUGAUAGUGUCGCGAUAGUCAACCUAGUACAAGAGGAAUCGUUGAUUCACACAAUUGAUCAUCGCGCUUGGUUGAAAAGCCAGUGGCGCGAAGCUACCGUGUGCCGGAUUAUGACUGAACGCCUCUAAGUCAGAAUCCAAGCUAGCAUGCGACGCCUGCGCUCGCCGCCCGCCCCGACCCACGUUAGGGGCGCUUGCGCCCCCAAGGGCCCUAGCCAUUGGCUAAGCCGGUCCGGCCGAGACCGGCCGCCUCGAAGCUCCCUUCCCAACGGGCGGUGGGCUGAAUCCUUUGCAGACGACUUAAAUACACGACACGGCAUUGUAAGUGGCAUAGUGGCCUUGCUGCCACGAUC